rnacentral:snRNA from 1 species
AUGCUUGCUUGGACAGCCUGUAUGCUAAAAUUGGAACAAUAUAGAGCAGAUUAGCAUGGCAACUGUGCAAGAAUGAUGUAGGGUUUGGUGGCCAAUAAAAGAUGGCC